UACGAAGGGGGCUAGCGUUGCUCGGAAUCACUGGGCGUAAAGGGCGCGUAGGCGGCCAUUUAAGUCGGGGGUGAAAGCCUGUGGCUCAACCACAGAAUUGCCUUCGAUACUGGAUGGCUUGAGACCGGAAGAGGUAAGUGGAACUGCGAGUGUAGAGGUGAAAUUCGUAGAUAUUAGGAAGAACACCAGUGGCGAAGGCGGCUUACUGGCCCGGUACUGACGCUGAGGCGCGAAAGCGUGGGGAGCAAACAGG
rnacentral:rRNA from 1 species